rnacentral:lncRNA from 10 species
GGGCGCCAGCGGCCAGGUGCAGUGACUCAUGCCUGUAAUCCCAGCACUUUGGGAGGCAGAGGCAGGUGGAUCACCUGAGCUUAGGAGUUCGAGACAAGCCUGGGCAGCACAGCAGAAACCCCAUCUCUACAAAAAAAUAUACAGAAAUUAGCCAGGUGUGGUGGUGUGUACCUGUAAUGCUGGCUACUUGGGAGUCUGAGGCAUGACAAUCACUUGAACCCAGGAGGUGGAUGUUGCAGUGAGCCCAGACUGCACCAUGGCACUCCAGCCUGGAUGACAGAACAAGACUCUGUCUCAGAAGAAAGGGACACCAGCUCUAAGCAGCUGAUUUGCUUAUACCAGGAUUUGAUUCUGGCCAGCCAUCCAGCUGGAGUGCACACCCUUGCAUCUGGGAGUGGCCAUGACACUCAUUUCUAGCCAAUGGAAUGUAAGUAGAUUUGAUGAUUGCAACUUCCAGGUCAGGUCCUCAAAAAGGGAAACAACUUACUUACUGCAUCCUACCAUUUUCCUUACUCAUGGGCUUUGAGUCACCUCCACCCUGUAGCAGAUGGCACACCCUGGUGCAGCUGCAGGCCCCAAGACAAAAGGGUGUCCCUGGAUGAAAUGGAACAAAAACACCUACUCACCCAGAACCACCUGCCCACUUUCAGGCUGCUAAGUGAGAAAGAAAUAUGCUUUAUCUUGUUUGAGCUACUGCAUAUUUGGAGUAUUUUUGUGACAGCAACUUAGCCAGUAUUGUAAAGAAACAGCAUUGUAUCUGUCUUAAGAGAACGACACCCUAGUGGCACCAACGCUACUCCUCCAUUCCUCCCCAGGACUACAAGGAGAUAAAGCCCACACUGCAAACCCCAUCAGGCCUGAGAAUUAUACUCAGACCUGAGGCUGGGCAAGGGGAAUAGGCAACUGAGCAAUUGGUAUCAUUUCCCAUUUUAAACAAAUUAAAGAAAAAAACGCAUCUCUCAACCUCACUUUGUCACCUGCCCUUCAGCCGUCACUGGGUUCAUUCCUAACCUUUACAGAUUUGUCCAGGGUGGCUUAUCUUCCUAUCUCACUCUGCAGUCUACUCUCUCACUAGUAUUAUCUCAUGCUUCCUUCUGUCUAGCACUAUUCCAAAAUUCUCAUCCAAAGACCACUUUUUUGGGGUUUUUGUUUGUUUGUUUUUAGAGAGAGACAGGGUCUUGCUUUGUUGCCCAGGCUGGUCUUGAACCCCUGGCUUCAAGUGAUCCUCCUGCCUCAGCCUCUGAAAGUGUUGGGAUUACAGGUGUGAGCCACCACACCUGCUCCAAAAACCAUUUUUUAGUCCUUAUCUUUCUAUACCUCUCAAAAGCUUUUUUUUUUUUAAUUUUUUUUUAUUUUUAGAAACAGGUCUUGCCCUGUCACCCAGGCUAGAGUGCAGUGGCACGAUCGUAGCUCACUGUAUAGUCUUGAACUCCUGAACUCAAGUGAUCCUCCCACCUGAGC